rnacentral:rRNA from 1 species
UACGGAGGGAGCUAGCGUUAUUCGGAAUUACUGGGCGUAAAGCGUACGUAGGCGGCUUUGUAAGUAAGAGGUGAAAGCCCGGAGCUCAACUCCGGAACUGCCUUUUAGACUGCAUCGCCUGAAUCCAGGAGAGGUGAGUGGAAUUCCGAGUGUAGAGGUGAAAUUCGUAGAUAUUCGGAAGAACACCAGUGGCGAAGGCGACUCACUGGCCCGAUACUGACGCUGAGGCGCGAAAGCGUGGGGAGCAAACAGG